GCCGGGAUAGCUCAGUCGGUAGAGCAGGGGACUGAAAAUCCUCGUGUCACCAGUUCAAA
rnacentral:tRNA from 1 species